GGAGCGGGCGAGGCGAUCGCCUGGCCGGCGCUGCGGCGUUGGCCGGGAGGAAAGUCCGAACUGGGCAGGGCACGGUGGUUGCUAACGGCAACCCGGCGCGAGCCGGGAACGCGAAGCGUCCGCCGCAUGUCGAGGGUAAGGGUGAAAAGGUGCGGUAAGAGCGCACCGCGUUGCGGGUGACCGUAACGGCAGGGCAAACCCCACCGCCAGCAAGCCCAAAUAGG
rnacentral:RNase_P_RNA from 1 species